UGGGGAAUCUUGGACAAUGGGCGCAAGCCUGAUCCAGCCAUGCCGCGUGGAUGAUGAAGGCCUUAGGGUUGUAAAAUCCUUUCGUGGGGGACGAUAAUGACGGUACCCCAAGAAGAAGCUCCGGCUAACUUCGUGCCAGCAGCCGCGGUAAUACGAAGGGGGCUAGCGUUGUUCGGAUUUACUGGGCGUAAAGCGCGUGUAGGCGGGUCGUUAAGUUGGGGGUGAAAUCCCGAGGCUCAACCUCGGAACUGCCUUCAAAACUGGCGACCUGGACCCAAGUAGAGGCAAGUGGAAUUGCGAGUGUAGAGGUGAAAUUCGUAGAUAUUCGCAGGAACACCAGUGGCGAAGGCGACUUGCUGGACUUGUGGUGACGCUGAGACGCGAAAGCGUGGGGAGCAAACAGGAUUAGAUACCCAAGUAGUCCCUGAGCGGGCUGGCAAGGCGCAU
rnacentral:rRNA from 1 species